UGGGGAAUUUUGGACAAUGGGGGCAACCCUGAUCCAGCCAUUCCGCGUGAGUGAAGAAGGCCUUCGGGUUGUAAAGCUCUUUCGGCAGGAACGAAACGGCGAGCUCUAACAUAGCUCGCUAAUGACGGUACCUGAAGAAGAAGCACCGGCUAACUACGUGCCAGCAGCCGCGGUAAUACGUAGGGUGCGAGCGUUAAUCGGAAUUACUGGGCGUAAAGCGUGCGCAGGCGGUUGUGUAAGACAGGUGUGAAAUCCCCGGGCUUAACCUGGGAACUGCGCUUGUGACUGCACGGCUAGAGUAUGGCAGAGGGGGGUGGAAUUCCACGUGUAGCAGUGAAAUGCGUAGAGAUGUGGAGGAACACCGAUGGCGAAGGCAGCCCCCUGGGCCAAUACUGACGCUCAUGCACGAAAGCGUGGGGAGCAAACAGG
rnacentral:rRNA from 2 species